rnacentral:rRNA from 1 species
UGAGUGAGUGGCGGACGGGUGAGUAACACGUGGGUAACCUGCCCUAAAGUGGGGGAUAACAUUUGGAAACAGAUGCUAAUACCGCAUAAAACCUAACACCGCAUGGUGUAGGGUUGAAAGAUGGUUUCGGCUAUCACUUUAGGAUGGACCCGCGGUGCAUUAGUUAGUUGGUGAGGUAAAGGCUCACCAAGACCGUGAUGCAUAGCCGACCUGAGAGGGUAAUCGGCCACACUGGGACUGAGACACGGCCCAGACUCCUACGGGAGGCAGCAGUAGGGAAUCUUCCACAAUGGACGAAAGUCUGAUGGAGCAACGCCGCGUGAGUGAAGAAGGUUUUCGGAUCGUAAAACUCUGUUGUUGGAGAAGAAUGUAUCUGAUAGUAACUGAUCAGGUAGUGACGGUAUCCAACCAGAAAGCCACGGCUAACUACGUG